UACGUAGGGGCAAGCGUUGUCCGGAUUAUUGGCGUAAAGAGCGUGUAGGCGGCCAUGCAGGUCCGUUGUGAAACUCGAGGCUCAACCUCGAGACGCCGAUGGAACCGCAUGGCUAGAGUCCGGAAGAGGAGAGUGAAUUCCGUGGUGUAGCGGUGAAAUGCGCAGAUAUCAGGAGAACACAAUGGCGAAGCAGCUCGCUGGACGUACUGACGCUGAGACGCGAAGCGUGGGAGC
rnacentral:rRNA from 1 species